AGUGAACGCUGGCGGUAGGCCUAACACAUGCAAGUCGAACGGCAGCACAGUAAGAGCCUGCUCUUACGGGUGGCGAGUGGCGGACGGGUGAGGAAUACAUCGGACUCUACUUUUUCGUGGGGGCUACCGUAGGGAAACUUACGCUAAUACCGCAUACGACCUACGGGUGAAAGCAGGGGAUCUUCGGACCUUGCGCGAUUGAAUGAGUCGAUGUCGGAUUAGCUAGUUGGCGUGGUAAAGGCCCACCAAGGCGACGAUCCGUAGCUGGUCUGAGAGGAUAAUCAGCCACACUGGACCUGAGACAAGGUCCAAACUCCUACGAGAAGCAGCAGUGGGGAAUAUAAGACAAUGAGGGAAGGCCUGCUCCAGCCAUACCGCGUGGGUGAGGAAGGCCUUCGGUUUGUAAAGCCCUUUUGUUGGGAAAAAAUAGCAGCCGGUUAAUAGCCAGCUGUUCUGACGGUACCCAAAUAAUAAGCACCGGCUAACUACGUG
rnacentral:rRNA from 1 species